AUUGAACGCUGGCGGCAUGCCUUACACAUGCAAGUCGAACGGCAGCGCGGGCUUCGGCCUCGCGUCGAGUUGCCAACGGGUGAGUAAUUCAUCGGAACGUGCCCAGUAGUGGGGGCUAGCCCGGCUACAGCCGGAUUAAUACCGCAUACGACCUGAGGGUGAAAGCGGGGGCCCAAAGGGCACAGGCUGUUUGAGCGGCCGAUGUCGGAUUAGCUAGUUGGUGGGGUAAAGGCUUACCAAGGCGACGAUUCGUAGCUGGUCUGAGAGGGCGACCAGCCACACUGGGACUGAGACACGGCCCAGACUCCUACGGGAGGCAGCAGUGGGGAAUUUUGGACAAUGGGGGCAACCCUGAUCCAGCCAUGCCGCGUGCGGGAAGAAGGCCUUCGGGUUGUAAACCGCUUUUGUUCGGGAAGAAAUCCUCUGGGCUAAUACCCCGGGGGGAUGACGGUACCGGAAGAAUAAGCACCGGCUAACUACGUG
rnacentral:rRNA from 1 species